rnacentral:rRNA from 1 species
UACGUAGGGUGCGAGCGUUGUCCGGAAUUAUUGGGCGUAAAGAGCUUGUAGGCGGUUUGUCGCGUCUGCUGUGAAAAUCCGGGGCUCAACCCCGGACUUGCAGUGGGUACGGGCAGACUAGAGUGUGGUAGGGGAGACUGGAAUUCCUGGUGUAGCGGUGAAAUGCGCAGAUAUCAGGAGGAACACCGAUGGCGAAGGCAGGUCUCUGGGCCACUACUGACGCUGAGAAGCGAAAGCAUGGGGAGCCAACAGG